UAAGGAAUUUUCGGCAAUGGGGGAAACCCUGACCGAGCCAUGCCGCGUGCAGGAUGAAGGCCCUUUGGGUUGUAAACUGCUGUGGUAGUCUACUAAUACAUGAAGAGACUACUAGAAAGAGGUUGCUAACUCUGUGCCAGCAGCAGCGGUGAUACAGAGACCUCGAGCGUUAUCCGGAAUCAUUGGGCGUAAAGCGUUCCGACAGGUGGUUGUGUGUGUCUAGAGUGAAAGACCGGGGCUUAACCCCGUGUUUGCUUUGGAAACUGCACAACUAGAGUAGUAAAGGGGUGGCUAGAACUCUGCAAGUAGCGGUGAAAUGCGUUGAUAUGCAGGGGAAUACCGAAAGCGAAGGCAGGCCACUGGGUACUUACUGACACUGCUAGGACGAAAGCGUGGGGAG
rnacentral:rRNA from 1 species